rnacentral:misc_RNA from 1 species
AAGUCGUAACAAGGUUUCCGUAGGUGAACCUGCGGAAGGAUCAUUACCGAGAUAGGGUCCCUCAGGGCCCGAACCUCCCACCCAUUGUUUACUUACCUUUGUUGCUUUGGCGGGCCGCUAGGCUCGCCAGAGGCCCUACAAACUCUGAAUGUCAGUGUCGUCUGAGUACUAUACAAUAGUUAAAACUUUCAACAACGGAUCUCUUGGUUCUG